rnacentral:rRNA from 1 species
AGAGUUUGAUCAUGGCUCAGGACGAACGCUGGCGGCGUGCCUAACACAUGCAAGUCGAGCGAUGAAACCCUUCGGGGUGGAUUAGCGGCGGACGGGUGAGUAACACGUGGGUAACCUGCCUCAAAGAGGGGAAUAGCCUCCCGAAAGGGAGAUUAAUACCGCAUAAUAUGUUUUGGUCGCAUGACCUUAACAUCAAAGGAUUUUCUUCGGAACUUCCACUUUGAGAUGGACCCGCGGCGCAUUAGCUAGUUGGUGAGGUAAAGGCCCACCAAGGCAACGAUGCGUAGCCGACCUGAGAGGGUGAUCGGCCACAUUGGAACUGAGACACGGUCCAGACUCCUACGGGAGGCAGCAGUGGGGAAUAUUGCGCAAUGGGGGAAACCCUGACGCAGCAACGCCGCGUGAAUGAUGAAGGCCUUCGGGUUGUAAAGUUCUGUCUUCUGGGACGAUAAUGACGGUACCAGAGGAGGAAGCCACGGCUAACUACGUGCCAGCAGCCGCGGUAAUACGUAGGUGGCAAGCGUUGUCCGGAUUUACUGGGCGUAAAGGAUGCGUAGGCGGACAUUUAAGUCAGAUGUGAAAUACCCGAGCUUAACUUGGGUGCUGCAUUUGAAACUGGGUGUCUAGAGUGCAGGAGAGGUAAGUGGAAUUCCUAGUGUAGCGGUGAAAUGCGUAGAGAUUAGGAAGAACACCAGUGGCGAAGGCGACUUACUGAACUGUAACUGACGCUGAGGCAUGAAAGCGUGGGGAGCAAACAGGAUUAGAUACCCUAGUAGUCC